GUCUUGUAAAAUGGAAUGAUGGGAAUUUAAACCUCUUCCAGAGUAUCAAUUGGAGGGCAAGUCUGGUGCCAGCAGCCGCGGUAAUUCCAGCUCCAAUAGCGUAUAUUAAAAUUGUUGCAGUUAAAAAGCUCGUAGUUGAAUUUCUGCUGCAUCGUCGCAUCUCUUGCUGAGUGCUUCGUUUCGGCUUAUUUCGGAUUGAUUUUUUCUUUCCGGAUGAUUACUUUGAGAAAAUUAGAGUGCUCAAAGCAGGCUUUUGCCUUGAAUAGUUUAGCAUGGAAUAAUAAAGUAGGACUUUGGUUCUAUUUUGUUGGUUUUAGGUACCAAAGUAAUGGUUAAUAGGAACAGUUGGGGGCAUUCGUAUUUAACUGUCAGAGGUGAAAUUCUUAGAUUUGUUAAAGACGAACUACUGCGAAAGCAUUUGCCAAGGAUGUUUUCAUUAAUCAAGAACGAAAGUUAGGGGAUCGAAGACGAUCAGAUACCGUCGUAGUCCUAACCAUAAACUAA
rnacentral:rRNA from 1 species